rnacentral:rRNA from 1 species
CCUACGGGAGGCAGCAGUGGGGAAUUUUGGACAAUGGGCGAAAGCCUGAUCCAGCAAUGCCGCGUGAGUGAAGAAGGCCUUCGGGUUGUAAAGCUCUUUUGCCAGGGAAGAAACGGUGAGAGCUAAUAUCUUUUGCUAAUGACGGUACCUGAAGAAUAAGCACCGGCUAACUACGUGCCAGCAGCCGCGGUAAUACGUAGGGUGCAAGCGUUAAUCGGAAUUACUGGGCGUAAAGCGUGCGCAGGCGGUUUUGUAAGUCUGAUGUGAAAUCCCCGGGCUCAACCUGGGAAUUGCAUUGGAGACUGCAAGGCUAGAAUCUGGCAGAGGGGGGUAGAAUUCCACGUGUAGCAGUGAAAUGCGUAGAUAUGUGGAGGAACACCGAUGGCGAAGGCAGCCCCCUGGGUCAAGAUUGACGCUCAUGCACGAAAGCGUGGGGAGCAAACAGGAUUAGAUACCCUGGUAGUCCACGCCCUAAACGAUGUCUACUAGUUGUCGGGUCUUAAUUGACUUGGUAACGCAGCUAACGCGUGAAGUAGACCGCCUGGGGAGUACGGUCGCAAGAUUAAAACUCAAAGGAAUUGACGGNUGAGAGNGCGAGAGACGACGAGGGAGAGG